CAGUCGAACGGCAGCACAGCAGUAGCAAUACUGUGGGUGGCGAGUGGCGGACGGGUGAGUAAUGCAUCGGGAUCUACCCAAACGUGGGGGAUAACGUAGGGAAACUUACGCUAAUACCGCAUACGUCUUACGAGAGAAAGCAGGGGACCUUCGGGCCUUGCGCGGUUGGACGAACCGAUGUGCGAUUAGCUAGUUGGUAGGGUAAUGGCCUACCAAGGCGACGAUCGCUAGCUGGUCUGAGAGGAUGAUCAGCCACACUGGAACUGAGACACGGUCCAGACUCCUACGGGAGGCAGCAGUGGGGAAUAUUGGACAAUGGGCGCAAGCCUGAUCCAGCAAUGCCGCGUGUGUGAAGAAGGCCUUCGGGUUGUAAAGCACUUUUAUCAGGAGCGAAAUACUACCGGCUAAUAUCCGGUGGGGCUGACGGUACCUGAGGAAUAAGCACCGGCUAACUUCGUGCCAGCAGCCGCGGUAAUACGAAGGGUGCAAGCGUUAAUCGGAAUUACUGGGCGUAAAGCGUGCGUAGGCGGUUAUUUAAGUCUGUUGUGAAAUCCCCGGGCUCAACCUGGGAAUGGCAAUGGAUACUGGAUAGCUAGAGUGUGAUAGAGGAUGGUGGAAUUCCCGGUGUAGCGGUGAAAUGCGUAGAGAUCGGGAGGAACAUCAGUGGGGAAGGCGGCCAUCUGGAUCAACACUGACGCUGAGGCACGAAAGCGUGGGGAGCAAACAGGAUUAGAUACCCU
rnacentral:rRNA from 1 species